UCAUUGGAGAGUUUGAUCCUGGCUCAGGACGAACGCUGGCGGCGUGCUUAACACAUGCAAGUCGAACGGAAAGGCCCUGCUUUUGUGGGGUGCUCGAGUGGCGAACGGGUGAGUAACACGUGAGUAACCUGCCCUUGACUUUGGGAUAACUUCAGGAAACUGGGGCUAAUACCGGAUAGGAGCUCCUGCUGCAUGGUGGGGGUUGGAAAGUUUCGGCGGUUGGGGAUGGACUCGCGGCUUAUCAGCUUGUUGGUGGGGUAGUGGCUUACCAAGGCUUUGACGGGUAGCCGGCCUGAGAGGGUGACCGGCCACAUUGGGACUGAG
rnacentral:rRNA from 1 species